GCAUUCUUAGCUCAGUUGGAUAGAGCAACAACCUUCUAAGUUGACGGUCGUAGGUUCAAUUCCUACAGAGUGCG
rfam:Auxenochlorella protothecoides strain 0710 contig1223, whole genome shotgun sequence.